rnacentral:rRNA from 1 species
GACGAACGCUGGCGGCGUGCUUAACACAUGCAAGUCGAACGAAGUGGCGAACGGGUGAGUAAUACGUGGGUAACCUGCCCUCCUUUUUGGGAUAAGCUUUGGAAACGGGGUCUAAUACCGAAUAAAGGGGGAUGGGCUCGCGGCCUCUCAGCUUGUUGGUGGGGUGAUAGCCUAACAAGGCGGUGACGGGUAGAUGGCCUGAGAGGGUGAACGGGAACAUAGGGACUGGGAUACGGCCCAGGGUACUACGGAGGGGGGCAGUGGGGGAAAUUGGAGAAUGGGCGAAAGCGUGAUGCAGCGACGCCGCGGAGGGGCUGAGGGCUUUCGGGUUGUAAACCUCUUGCGCUAUCGAGCGGGUAGGUGGAGAAGAAGCGCCGGCUAACUACGUGCCAGCAGCCGCGGUAAUAC